rnacentral:rRNA from 1 species
GACGAACGCUGGCGGCGUGCUUAACACAUGCAAGUCGAACGGAAAGGCCCUGCUCUUGCGCGUUGCUCGUGAGGCGCACGGGUGUGUAACACGCGUGUAUCCUGUCCUUUACAUUGGGAUAACUCUAGGAAAAUGGGGCUCUAAUCGCACAGGAGCUUCUGCUGCACGGUGGGGGUUGGAGAGUUUCGGCGGUUGGGGAUGGAAGCGCGGUUUAUCAGCUUGUUGGUGGGGUAGUGGCUUACCAAGGCUUGGACGGGUAGCCGGCCUGGGAGGGUGACCGGCCACAGUGGGACUGAGGUACGACCCAGACGGCUACGGGGGGCAGCAGGGGGGAAUAUUGCGCGAUGGGCGGAAGCCGGAUGGAGCAACGCCGCGUGCGGGAUGUCGGCCGUCGGGUUGGAAACCGUGUGAGCCUGUGACGAAGCGUGAGUGACGGUAAUGGGUAAAGAAGCACCGGCUAACUACGUG